GGAAUAUUCCACAAUGGGCGAAAGCCUGAUGGAGCGACGCCGCGUGAGUGAAGAAGGGCUUCGGCUCGUAAAGCUCUUUUCUAGAGGACGAAUGGUCUAUUAGAUAGACAGGGACGGUACUCUGGGAAUAAGCCACGGCUAACUACGUGCCAGCAGCCGCGGUAAUACGUAGGUGGCAAGCGUUAUCCGGAUUUAUUGGGCGUAAAGCGAGCGCAGGCGGUUUCUUAAGUCUGAUGUGAAAGCCUUCGGCUUAACCGAAGAAGUGCAUCGGAAACUGGGAAACUUGAGUGCAGAAGAGGACAGUGGAACUCCAUGUGUAGCGGUGAAAUGCGUAGAUAUAUGGAAGAACACCAGUGGCGAAGGCGGCUGUCUGGUCUGUAACUGACGCUGAGGCUCGAAAGCAUGGGUAGCGAACA
rnacentral:rRNA from 1 species